AUACAGAGGGUGCAAGCGUUGUUCGGAAUUAUUGGGCGUAAAGGGCGCGUAGGCGGUAAUGUAAGUCAGAUGUGAAAUACUUCGGCUCAACUGAAGAACUGCAUCUGAAACUGCAUAACUAGAGUACAGAAGAGGGAAACGGAAUUCCCGGUGUAGAGGUGAAAUUCGUAGAUAUCGGGAGGAACACCAGUGGCGAAGGCGGUUUCCUGGUCUGAUACUGACGCUGAGGCGCGAAAGUGUGGGGAGC
rnacentral:rRNA from 1 species